CAGUCGCCGCGGUAAUACGGAGGAUCCAAGCGUUAUCCGGAAUCAUUGGGUUUAAAGGGUCCGUAGGCGGUCUUGUAAGUCAGUGGUGAAAGCCCAUCGCUCAACGGUGGAACGGCCAUUGAUACUGCAGGACUUGAAUUAUUGGGAAGUAACUAGAAUAUGUAGUGUAGCGGUGAAAUGCUUAGAGAUUACAUGGAAUACCAAUUGCGAAGGCAGGUUACUACCAAUUGAUUGACGCUGAUGGACGAAAGCGUGGGUAGCGAACAGGAUUAGAGACCCCUGUAGUCCCUGUCUCUUAUAC
rnacentral:rRNA from 1 species